CAGGCCGAGCUGCUGGGAGAUGGUGAUCUGCAUUUCUUUGGAUGGCCGCUUGUUCUCCUUGAAGAUGGCGAUGAGCGUGCGCCGCUGCAGGCUUGGCGUGGAUGGCAGCAGUGGGAGGGAUGGGGAUGAAAGUGGGAGGCAGAGAGGGGAAAAGAACACAAGGCAAGUUGACCCGAUGACCUCGUUCAAGUUGCUCCAACCAGUCCUUCAGUAAACCUCAAGUCGGAGUCUCAAAAAACAGCUUGAGGCAAGUACUCAGCCUACGCAUUGAAGAAUUGUUCGCUAUCUGCCAAAGUGCUCCUUGUUAUGAAGUUUGCUGACCCCAUCCAGCGCAUGAAACUCAAGACCAAGAAUUUGUACGAGCAACAGCUGGAAUCUCAAAGAAUUCUUAAGUUGAGAAGAGAUGCAAACUCCUAUUUGUGCCCUUACUACAAAUGUGCCUGUUUGGAACCCAAUUUGGCUCUCUACCCUAGUUGAUGGACUCCUGCUGUAGCCCUUCUUUCAACACUCUGAGAAUCUUGAGACUCCAAGGUGACGUUUUUUUUCGAGUUACCCUUUUCCAACGCAAAAUAAUUGUGUUCCACUCUUGUAUUGGUUUCCAAGCAUUUGCACAAUUUCUCAGAAAAGGGGCUUCAUCUUACAUGCAUGAUUGGUUCUUAUCAUUUAGUAUCGCUGGACAACACCCGAUUUGCCUCUGUACUUUACAAAAAGUACAAUGGCAUACUUCUUCCCUGCCCAAUUUGUUUUGUACCACCAGUUUGUCAAAUAAAGAUCUCUCUCUAA